ensembl:lncRNA
AUGCAGUCUUAUCUUCCCUCUAUCAAGACAUCUUUUGAUGUGCCUGCCCUAUGUUGACCUCUUUGUUUUUGUGGAUUUUGUUCUCAUUUGGACUUCAUUUCAUUGGCCAUCAAAGCCUGCUAUUUGUUGGGGCUUUCUGACUUCUGCCUCCUACAUACAAAGGUCAUAACAAGAAGAACAGAUUGUAAUGGAUCUUGUUUCCUUGAACCGAUGAAGCCAAGGGGUGUACUACGAAGUGAGACUGGUGGGUUAUUGAGCAACGUUGAGUUUAAGGGACUCACCCGCUCCAGCUGGAUGUAGAACGUCUGGUCCCAGCUCAGCCUGCUGAUGGCUGCCCAGCGCGUCCGGCCGACCACUCUGCCGUCCAGCCUGAGCACGCCACUGAUCUCUGCGCUGCUCCUUUUAGGGGUCGCCACAGCAGAUCAUCUGUCUCCAUCUCACCCUCUCACUGGCAUCCCCAAACCUCUACUUGUCUUCCUUCAUUACAUCAGGUGCCUGGCAGCUCCAUAUUCAACAUCCUUUGUCCAGUUUAUCCUCUGUCCUUCCUCUGCACAUUUCCAAACAAUCUCAGUCCUGCCUCUAACUUUGUCUCCAAACCGCUCAUCCUCAGCAGUCUCUCUGAUGUCAUUAUUUCUAAUCCUGUCUAUCCUGGUCAUUCCCAAUAAAAAACCUCGACAUCUUCACCUCUGCCACCUCCAGCUCUGCUUUGUGUCUUUUUAUCAGUGCCAACA